AACGAACGCUGGCGGCAUGCCUAACACAUGCAAGUCGAACGAGACCUUCGGGUCUAGUGGCGCACGGGUGCGUCACGCGUGGGAACCUGCCCUUAGGUUCGGAAUACCUCCCCGACAGGGGUGCUAAUACCGGAUAAUGUCUUCGGACCAAAGAUUUAUCGACCUUGGAUGGGCCCGCGUUGGAUUAGCUUGUUGGUAGGGUAAAAGCCUACCAAGGCGACGAUCCAUAGCUGGUCUGAGAGGAUGGUCAGCCACACUGGGACUGAGACACGGCCCAGACUCCUACGGGAGGCAGCAGAGGGGAAUAUUGGACAAUGGGCGAAAGCCUGAACCAGCAAUGCCGCGUGAGUGAUGAAGGCCUUAGGGUUGUAAAGCUCUUUUACCCGGGAUGAUAAUGACAGUACCGAGAGAAUAAGCUCCGGCUAACUCCGUG
rnacentral:rRNA from 1 species